GCCCCCGUAUCCCAAAUGGUCAGAGGAACGCCCCUUAAAAGGGCGUCCAGUGUGGGUUCGACUCCCACCGGGGGCACGA
rnacentral:tRNA from 1 species